rnacentral:rRNA from 1 species
CCUACGGGAGGCUGCAGUGGGGAAUAUUGGACAAUGGGCGAAAGCCUGAUCCAGCCAUGCCGCGUGUGUGAAGAAGGCCUUCGGGUUGUAAAGCACUUUCAGUGGGGAAGAAAGCCUUGGGGCUAAUACCCUCGAGGAAGGACAUCACCCACAGAAGAAGCACCGGCUAACUCCGUGCCAGCAGCCGCGGUAAUACGGAGGGUGCGAGCGUUAUUCGGAAUUACUGGGCGUAAAGCGCGCGUAGGCGGUCUGAUAAGCCGGUUGUGAAAGCCCCGGGCUCAACCUGGGAACGGCAUCCGGAACUGUCAGGCUAGAGUGCAGGAGAGGAAGGUAGAAUUCCCGGUGUAGCGGUGAAAUGCGUAGAGAUCGGGAGGAAUACCAGUGGCGAAGGCGGCCUUCUGGACUGACACUGACGCUGAGGUGCGAAAGCGUGGGUAGCAAACAGGAUUAGAUACCCCGGUAGUC